GGAUUAGAUACCCUGGUAGUCCACGCCCUAAACGAUGCGAACUGGAUGUUGGGUGCAAUUUGGCACGCAGUAUCGAAGCUAACGCGUUAAGUUCGCCGCCUGGGGAGUACGGUCGCAAGACUGAAACUCAAAGGAAUUGACGGGGGCCCGCACAAGCGGUGGAGUAUGUGGUUUAAUUCGAUGCAACGCGAAGAACCUUACCUGGCCUUGACAUGUCGAGAACUUUCCAGAGAUGGAUUGGUGCCUUCGGGAACUCGAACACAGGUGCUGCAUGGCUGUCGUCAGCUCGUGCCG
rnacentral:rRNA from 1 species